rnacentral:tRNA from 1 species
GCCCUCGCGGGCGGCGGCGACGAUCGCGUCGGUGUCGCGGCCCGAGGCGCUGGGCAGCACGCCCGCGUCCAGGUUCCACGCCUGGGCGAGCUCG